rnacentral:ncRNA from 2 species
CAAUAUUUAUUAGUUACAGGUGCCCUUAGAUAGGGUGAAUAGGGAACUGGGUGAGAAUCCCGGACGGACCCACCACUGUAAAGAGGAGACUUAUGCAUUGUCCACUGGGAAACUGGGAAGGCGCAUAGUGUCGAUGAUUCUUAGUCAGGAGACCUGCCUGUGAUGUUUGUGAGUC